GGUCGCACAUGGGUUUUCUUCUGCUUUGGACUGGUCUUGCAAGUUGCUUUCCUUUCCCGGCUCUCAUCACAGCUGCAUUGUCUGGAAGUAGCAGCAGCGCUUCAUCAAGAAUGGUAAUUGGCGUGAUUUCUCAUGGCUUCCCCUUCCGCUGUCGUCCGAAUUCCGAGAAAGGUUAGCUGUGCCCUUUUUGCCUCCGGUUUUGUUCAUUUGGUUUCUCUCAUUUUCAUUUUCUCAAAUAUCUGGUUUCUCGCUUCCAUUUUUUCACUUUUGCUGUGUCCUUGAACCCGUUCCCCUUUUUUAUCUCCUUCCUCUCUCCGUCUUCUCGGGCAUCUUGAUUGCGAGCUUGGUUACAUCUCACGGAGCUUGCUUUACUAGUGCG
rnacentral:lncRNA from 1 species